rnacentral:lncRNA from 1 species
AGCGAGACUCCAUGGGCGUAGGACCCUCCAAGCCAGAUGAGGAGACGGAAGUCCAGAGGGUUUCAAUCGCUUGCCCAAAGUCACAGAGUCGGGAAGUGCAGAGCCAGGCCACUGCCUGGUUUUAAAUUCUGGGUGGAAAUGCAACGUGCCGGUCAACAUGGUGUGCUGAUGUGGAGGAAAGCUGGGAUUCCUUUUCUCAUUUGAAAAAUGUUGAAACAGAUGGAUAUAAAAAAAGCAAAAUGUCUUGUUCCACGUUUCCAAAAGAGGAAGUAUGAAAGGCGUAAUUGAAAUUCAAAACGUUUGGUCUGAAAAUCCUACAUCCUUUCUCCUAACAACCGUGAAUUCUUACUAAAGGAUAAGGCAUUAAAGCCUUUUUUGAACCAUCUUUCUCUUAUGGAGGAACACAGCCUAUUAAACCACACCAGCUACUAACUGCCUGCUAGGGUCUGAAAGUGUCCUCCCAGCAGUCAUGUCUCCAAGGUGAUGGCAUUAGGACGUGGGGCCUGUCGGAGGUGAUUAAGUCACUAGAGUGGAGCUCUUAUGAAUGGGAUUAGUAACAACUUUCCUAAGAAGAGGCCAGAGAGCUAGCUCUUUCCACCAGGAGAGGAUACAGGAGAAGUCAGCCAUCUGCAACCUGGAAGAGGGUCCUCACCAGAACUCAACCAUGCUGGCACUCUGAUCUCGGACUUCCAGCCUUCAGAACGAUGUUUCUGCCCUCUGGGGCCAAUUCCACCACUCCCUGGAAAGUGAUGUGAUGACCCUGGGCUUGAGUCCAAAGAACAUAGGAGAGUUUUGGCAGGUCGAUGGUGUGUUGGUGCCAACCCACUUAGAGCGAAAACUGUUUAAACCAGUUUUAAUUGGAUUUCCCUCACUUGCAACAAGGAAGACCUGAAUAAUAUUGCUUCUGUCUGUAUGUCCAAAUACUUUCAUUUUUCAAGAAGCAAUGUUAUACCAACGUCAGAACAAAGGAACACUUUAUGCUGAUCCUUGCAGUUUCCAUUAUUAGAGACCCAAAGGAAUCAGACCAGGAGAUCGUUUUGCUUUAAACUAGUAGAAUCUGACCUAAGGCAAAUAUCACUUGAGAAAAAGGAGAAAACACAUUUCUUCCUUCAACAGCGUCAUCCCCAUUCUUGGCAGAGAGAGAUGUGAAUGACCAACAGCCAUGCCAUUGCAUAGUUUCAUCUUUCAUGUAACUUUUUCAUAUUUGAAGCCAAACAUUUGGAGCCAAAGCCUGAUAACCCAGCGAGUCAAGUGCUCAUGUCACUAUUGCUUGUGUCUCCAUGGGACAGGCUUGAUUGAAAAUUGCUAAGACAAUAUUUUU